rnacentral:sRNA from 1 species
UUGCGGUUCUCGUUCUUAAACUCAAUCAUACACAUGACAUCAAGUCAUAUUUGAUUCCAAAACACUAACCAAGCUUCUUCUUGCUUCUCAAAGCUUUGAUGGUGUAGCUGAAGUCCAUAUGAGUCUUUGGAUUUGUAUCUUUUAACAAGGAAACACUACUUAGGCUUUUGAGAUCCUAUUGCGGUUCUAGUUCUUAAACUCAAUCAUACACAUGACAUCAAGUCAUAUUAGACUCCAAGACACUAAGCAAGCUUCUUCUUGCUUCUCAAAGCUUUAAUUGUGUAGCUGAAGUCUGUAUGAGUCUUUGGCUUUAUAUCUUCUAACAAGGAAACACUACUUAGGCUUUUAAGAUCCAGUUGCGGUUUUUGUUCUUAUACUCAAUCAUAAACAUGACAUCUAG